rnacentral:piRNA from 1 species
UGAAAUUCUGGGAUCUCAAGAGAAGC